rnacentral:rRNA from 1 species
UACGUAGGGAGCAAGCGUUGUUCGGAUUUACUGGGCGUAAAGGGCGCGUAGGCGGCGCGGAAAGUCAACGGUGAAAGCUUGGGGCUCAACCCCGAGUCGGCCGUCGAUACUUCCGUGCUCGAGCACUGUAGAGGCAGGUGGAAUUCCGGGUGUAGCGGUGGAAUGCGUAGAGAUCCGGAAGAACACCGGGUGGCGAAGGCGGCCUGCUGGGCAGUAGCUGGACGCUGACGCG